rnacentral:rRNA from 1 species
UGGGGAAUAUUGGACAAUGGGGGCAACCCUGAUCCAGCAAUGCCGCGUGUGUGAAGAAGGCCUGCGGGUUGUAAAGCACUUUCAGUAGAGACGAAAAGCCUAGGGUUAAUACCCCUGGGUCUUGACUUAACCUACAGAAGAAGCACCGGCUAACUCCGUGCCAGCAGCCGCGGUAAUACGGAGGGGGCUAGCGUUGUUCGGAAUUACUGGGCGUAAAGCGCGCGUAGGCGGGCUGGUCAGUUGGGGGUGAAAUCCCGGGGCUUAACCUCGGAACUGCCCUCAAUACUACCAGUCUAGAGUUCGAGAGAGGUAAGUGGAAUUCCUAGUGUAGAGGUGAAAUUCGUAGAUAUUAGGAAGAACACCAGUGGCGAAGGCGGCUUACUGGCUCGAUACUGACGCUGAGGCGCGAAAGCGUGGGGAGCAAACAGGAUUAGAUACCCCCGUAGUCC